UACGUAGGGUGCGAGCGUUGUCCGGAAUUACUGGGCGUAAAGAGCUCGUAGGCGGUUUGUCGAGUCUGCUGUGAAAACUCGGGGCUUAACCCCGGGCCUGCAGUGGGUACGGGCAGACUAGAGUGCGGUAGGGGAGACUGGAAUUCCUGGUGUAGCGGUGAAAUGCGCAGAUAUCAGGAGGAACACCAAUGGCGAAGGCAGCUCGCUGGGACGGUACUGACGCUGAGACGCGAAAGCGUGGGGAGCAAACAGG
rnacentral:rRNA from 1 species